UGCCAUACAUAAAACAUCUUGGGGAGGAAUGUUGCUGUCAUGAAAAUAUAUGUGGGAAGAAAUCUAAAUAGAAGUGUCAUCAAAGUUUGUUUAGCUUAAAAUAAAUCUGAUGAGUUCAAGGAUAUUAAGUAGGGAGAAAACAAUAUGAUUUCCUCACUUUUAAAGGACAAAUUAACAUAUUUCACAUAAUCGGUGAGUUUGAUUUAAAACCUUCCUGGUUGGGUUUAAACUGGUGCAAUGGAGCCAGAUGGAGAUCCAGGAACCGUUACUCAUUACACAAAAUGAAAGAAAAAUAAACCAUAACUCCUGUUUUCACCGAAAUGUCCGUACACAGAAAAUACAUACACGUUAUGUGAGAAAAUAUUCCUAAUACACUUCAUAUGUCCUCAAAUUCAUAUAUGUACAUGAUCUUGUAUGUUAGUCAUGAAUAAAAUAAUAAAAUAAUGCUUUGAACUAUGGAACAAAGGAAAUUAUUACCCUGUAAAUAUUAUUUCAUACAGGAUGUCAGGGUCUGCAUUUUGUUUCCGUUUUAUUUUGGGUUUUUUUUGGUUUGAGUUUUUUUUUUCCUGCCGUUGGAACUGGCAUUCCUCAUGACAUCCACCAGAGGUCGCCAACAGACAGAGCCCCUGGAAGGCUGCUGAGUUCAACCCGUCUACACACCUGCAGCUUGUUUUGGAGGGCGUGGAUUAUGGAUUUAAGCAGCAGCUCCUCUCCGUCUCAUCGCCUGAGUGUUUGCUUACUUCGAUAUCCUGCUGUUCCCUCGCGGUUCUGGCGAAGAGCAGUCCUCCCCGAGUUCAGUGCGCGCCUGUGCUCCCCUCGUUGUGGAUUCCCUACCUCCUGUGUCCUCCCUCGACGCUGUCGGUGCUACCGGUCAGAAGCCACCCCUCGUGUGUCCACCCUUUCCUCUCGUCGAUCCCUCUCUGGUGGAACCCCCCUCAUUCCAAGUAAGACAGACUCUGGAAUAUUCCCGAAGGAUUUUCUCCUCACUGCUCUGACCCUGCUUCUCCCGUUGGUAGCAAGACGACCCGGUCAUCAGCACCAGGAGUCGCGUCCUGACCCCUCCCCUGACUUCAAUAAACUGAUUAUUGUGCACUUUAUCGUUCUCUCUGAUUGUGUUCUUGCAUGUGGGUUCGUAAAGUAAAACUCAACAUGACACAGGAAUGAAACAGAAAACCAUCCUCCUGUUACUCAUACAAAACAAAACCCAGUGCUUUCAUGAACAUAUGAACAUAAUCCAAGUUUUAUCAUUAUAACAAAGGAAUGUUUAUAAAAUGAACAAAUCAUGUUGUUUUUAACAGCUAACAACACAAAACUUGACUGAAUCUUUCUAAAUGCUUUUCUCUGCUUAUGAACAGAAGAACCGUGUUUCUGAGGACCGGGUUCCAUUUCUGUUUCUGUUGCUUGUUUUGAUGAAUGUCUGUGUAGAAUGGUGCCAUCAUGGACACAUUCAGGGUUUCUCUGCUCAUCUGGGUCAAAAUGUCCACAGGGAAAUGAACCAAACCCACUGGGAGACUUCCUGGGCUCAGUUUGAUGUUCUCUCAGCUCAUGUGAGGGUUUUCUCAGGGUACUCCUACAGUGAAACACAAAUGUUUGGCUUUCAUGUUGACAUCAUGUCCAGGAUUUUUCCACUCUAUUUUGACAUCAAAUUCUGUAAAGUCUCCAAUAACUUGACAACAAAUCAAUAAAUUAAUCAAUUAUUGAACAAAC